UACAUUAGAUACCCGUGUAGUCCCAGCCGUAAACUAUGCUCGCUAGGUGUCAGGCAUGGCGCGACCGUGUCUGGUGCCGCAGGGAAGCCGUGAAGCGAGCCACCUGGGAAGUACGGCCGCAAGGCUGAAACUUAAAGGAAUUGGCGGGGAGCACCACAACGGGUGGAGCCUGCGGUUUAAUUGGACUCAACGCCGGGAAGCUCACCGGAUAAGACAGCGGAAUGAUUGCCGGGCUGAAGACUCUGCAUGACUAGCUG
rnacentral:rRNA from 1 species